rnacentral:misc_RNA from 1 species
GUAGGUGAACCUGCGGAAGGAUCAUUACCGAGCGUGGGUCCCCUGUGGCCCCCCUUUCCCGGGGGGGCCCGGGGUUGACCCUAGACCUCCCACCCUUGUCGAUUGUACCGUGUUGCUUCGGCGGGCCCGCCAUUGGCCGCCGGGGGGCUCGUGACUUGUGCGCGUUGCCCCCGGGCCCGUGCCCGCCGGAGACCUCCCUCGAAAUGCUACUGUGGUCUGAAAUGCUGUCUGAGUGGGAAUGAUGUGAGAAAUUGAUCAGUCAAAACUUUCAACAAUGGAUCUCUUGGUUCCG